CUAAGUGCGGAAAAGAUAACCGCUGAAAGCAUCUAAGCGGGAAACUUGCCUUGAGAUGAGUCUUCCCUGACUCUUUAAGGGUCCUAAAGGAACGUUUAAGACUAAGACGUUGAUAGGUUGGGUGUGUAAGCGUAGCGAUACGUUGAGCUAACCAAUACUAAUGAACCGUGAGGCUUAACCUGACAACACCGAAGGUGUUUUAG
rnacentral:rRNA from 1 species